rnacentral:lncRNA from 1 species
UUCAGCACAGGCGAAGAAGAUCAGCGACUACUUCAAGAAGCAAGCCUUCGACUUCUUGAAGGAUCACGCCUUGGACGUCAUCCCGAACGUCCUGUCAACUCCGGAAGGCCAGAAGCAGGGCACAAAAGCGGCCGACACCGCCGGCCUCUACGUCUUUAACCUCUCCGUCGGCACGUCGAUCCUGCAGAACAUUACCGGCAUCCUGGACAUCACCACUGAGCUCGUGUGGGCGCAGUGCGCGUGUAGCGCUGACGCCUGCUUGCCACCUCCGGGGACCACAUUCGACCCAAGUACGUCGGACACCUUCGCCGGGGUUCCCUGCAUCAGCCAGAGGUGCCAGAGCGUGAUCAAGCAGCAAUGUGACCCUGACCCCGCGGCGAACUGCACGUACCUUAUGCAAUACGACGACUACACCAACACGACCGGCUACCUCGGCAACGACACGUUCACGUUUGGUCAGACUCAGUUCCCCGACGUGGUGUUCGGCUGCAGCAAGGCGAGCUACGGUGAUUUCUUUGGCGCCUCCGGCGUCCUGGGCUUCAGCAGGGGGAGCCUAUCCCUGGUGUCCCAGCUCCAACUCUCCUGGUUCUCCUACCUCUUGGUUUCGGACGGACCCAGCCCCUUGCAGUUCGGCUAUGACGCCGUUCCGCAGACGGAGAACAGCCACUCAACUCCCCUUCUCAACAACGACGCAAACCCUGGCCUUUACUAUGUCAAGCUCACCGGCAUAAUGAUCGACGGCCGGCAGCUCAACGGCAUCCCAGCUGGAACCUUCGACAUCCAGUCGAACGGUUCCGGCGGGGUGUUCCUGAGCACGACCGUCCCGGUCACGUACCUCGACGAGGCCGCGUACAACGUUGUCAGGAAGGCAUUCGUCAGCCGGAUCACGGCGGAAGCUGUGGACGGCUCGGCGCUUGGUCUUGACCUGUGCUAC